GGGAAGAUUACAGUUUGAAUUAAUAUUCAGACGCACUUCAGGGCCCUCUUCCCAUCCGUUCCCCCGCCCCCCAACCUAUGACCCUGUUCUGAGAGCCCACUAGUUGUUCAGCGAAAUGGGAAAUGGUGCGCCUCUGCCGGCCAUCUUCGGAGGUCAGGAUCCAUUCAGUGGUUUUGACCCAUUUGUCAGCUUUUGAAGGUUGCAACAGCUUUUGUUUGGUGUCCAGAGUUUCCAGCCCCCUCCCCACCCCCUCACCCCCAAAACUCUGAGUAAGUAAUACAACUUAACGGUGGGGCAUGUGGCCAAUGCUGAGCUGGGGAGGGAAGAGUGGAACUGUGGGGAUGUGGCCAGGAGGAAAUAAGAGCAAAUUCCUCCGAAACGAUCUGACAGGAAAUGACAGCGCAUCGGCCUCCCCUCGCAGAGGGAGCGAGCCUCCGAGAGGGGAGAAGUCCUUCCUAAUCACAGAGCAGUGCCAGAGCGCAGUAGGAAUGGUGGCUGCUACAUGCAGUUUUAGAUCAAUCUACUAUAGUCAUGCUGCCCUGAGACCCAGAUAAUUCCUCUGUGAACUCUGGACACUCCGAAGCACCUUCAUGUUCACACAUUUGGAGAGCCUGUCAGCCUCUUGGGCCUCCAGUCUGCAUCUCUACUGAUCAUCCCAUUCUAUCCAUUACUCCUGGGAUGAGAGAAGCCUCCUUGCGAAGUCGGAAGAGGAGAAAGACUGUGGAUAAUCAUACUUUUAAUUUUUUAUCUCCAUCAGAGUAAAUAACUUUCUAAAAUACAUGAAUAUGAUCCUAUGAAUCUUUCUAAUCUGAAAGCAAUGCUGAGAGUCUAGUCAUUGGCAUAUAUUGCUGUGGCAAAUUUAUUUUUUUCAAAUAUACUAUUUGCUGUCAAGCCCACUGGCAGCAUGAUAGAAUGAUUACUUUAUUGUUAUUUGUUGUUUUUAAAUUACUAUAGCAAUCUACAUUAAGAAACCUACCGAAGCCUAUAUUUCUCUUUUUAUUGAACCAUCAGAAGGGAUUGAAAUUAAUUUCAAAUCAUUUCUUAAAAAGAACAUUCAAUGCUUCCUUGUUAUUCACUACUUGGUUGACAAAGACAAAUUCUGUUUUGAAAUACUGUGUGACAUUACUUGGUACUGUUUUCCUAUCAAGAAAAAGUGCACCUAUUUUUCUGUUUAAUGAACUAAGAUAACUGAAGGCUAUAGCACUCGAUACAUCUUGUGGCUUUUAUGAUAUUGUCCAAUUUUCACAUGAUUCAUAAUUUACAACUCAAAUAGAGAAGGCAGGGGUGGGCAUGCAUGGAAAUUGCAAAUCUGUUGGGUAGUACUUUUGAGUGUAGAGACUUGAUAAUAAUUAAAAUGAGAGGUUCCAAGCUUUUCCCCAAGUGUGCAUCAAACUGGCAGCAAAGACAAGUCUGCUCCACCUCCAUCACUACUGAAGAGAAAAAGCCCACAAACCCCGCCACGGCCGGCAAAGUCGGCGUUUGCUGCCCUCUCCCCACUGCUUCCUUUGAAUUCCCACCCUUCUCUACAUGACAGCCCAGAGUCCGGCUCCCACCUCUUCCUUGGCCCUUUCUUUUCUCAUAAUGGCUGUGAUGUCUAACCACCCACCAAAAGUUUGUGCCCCCCCUUUCACAGUGCCCUGGGGAAUGGGUGCCCGGUGUCUACAUUCCCCAGCUUCACUUGCAUCUGGGCAGACUCUUAGACUAGCUCUUACCAACGAUCUGUUCAUAGUAGGUAUGUCUAUUCUUGGCUACAGUUUUUUUUUUUAAUUCAUUAACAAAUAUUUAUUCAAUGUACAAUUUAUCACUGGUUACAAAUCCAAGCCAGUCUUUUUAUUAUUAUCUUAUUAUCCUGUGGCUCUAGCAUCCAGAGUCCUCUGCAGUCAUCUUAUUUAUAUGAUGCAUUUUAAUUUUUUAGUUUUUCAGUAUUUUAAUUUUAAUGGAGUAUAGUGGAUUUACAAUGCUGUGUUAGUUGUCAGAGAAAGACAGAUGUCCUAUGAUAUAUCACUCAUAUGUGGAUUCUAAUUUCAAAAAAAGAUACAGAUGAACUUAUUUACAAAAUAAAAGUAGACUUAUAGAUAUUGAAAACA
rnacentral:lncRNA from 1 species